UAGGUAGAUAAAAACAGCCUCGUACGUGAUACGAUUGUGGGAAACAUUUUGUGGAAAGGCGGAACAAUUUAAACAACGGAUUUUAUGAGACGUCGACUCAAGCGCAUGGUAGAUAAGGCAGAAACGGGUCGGGAGAUCUGCGUUACUGGCCGAAACUUCAUCCAGGUGAUUUGCGUCUUUCCCAAGAAAUACAAACCCAGUCUCAUCAUCGAGACUUCGGAUCCUAAACGAAACCAAUAAGCUGCAUGUGGUACCCAUAGUUAACCCGCGCAAAUUAGAAACCGUUCUGCUUUAUGCAACAUUAGAAGUAGGGAUAGCGUACGACUACGACAACGCGCAUCAAACGAUUGGGAAAUCUUUCGGCUAAAUGGAAAACCUUACACAGCGAUUUUCUAUCUUUCUUUUGCUGGAAAUUAGGUCGCAAGCUGGUUUAGAAUAUCUGCCAGGAGGAGUCUAAUGGCGCUAUUUCUAAUCAAACUUAACGAAUUUCCCACCAUGAUUUGUAAAUGAAUCUAGACAAGAAUCUGCCUUUGCCGAUUUAAUAAAAUCGGCAAUCCAAAUAAUAAUAAUCCAAAAAUAAUAUUUAAUUUUCAUCUACAAAUCUCGAUUUGACUAACUCUUUCAUCUGUAGUGUAAAGCUCCUAGCAACUGUAAAUAUGUUUAAGUUAGUUUUGAAGUGUUUAAUAUGAUUUAGAUAUUUGAUGGCUCUCUAAACAUAUCUGAAGAUGGUUUGUCCUAAUCACAUUUGUUUGCCAUUCCCUUAUUUUCCAACCUCACAUUUGUUUUCCUUUUUUCUUGGCCAAACAUAUAGAUCCAUCUUAACGUGACUUUGGGAGUCCAUAAUUAUAAACCAUUGGCAUAUCUAGCCAUUGUCAGAGUUUUAUCCAAAAACAAAGGAACACAUUAUUUUUAAUGUUAGUGGGCAACUAGCCUCAUUACAUGAAACCAUUAAUGUGUCCUCUAAGUAUAUAGAAAACCGCAUUAUAACAUAGCAUGUAGAACCGAUAUAAUGAUCAUCUGGUCGUUUCAAGAAGUGUUUAGCCUUCUUAAUGAAACACAGACAUGAAAUGAUUAUAUUCCAACAAUAAAUUAUUGUUGUCUUAAUACCUUUCAGAGCUCCAAUCAACUUUUACCACCUACCACUAAUGCAUAGGGAAAUAAUUACCACAGAUCAUAGGUCUAUACUCAUUUACGAAAUGUGAAUUAUAUAUGCAUAUACAGAUUUGACGACAUAGACGUUUAAAGGCCAAUCUAGACUUAUUGAUUGAUCGCUCGUAAACGUAGCAUAACGAGCUCGAUGAAAAACAACCGAAUUCAGCCAUUGUAUACUAGUUUUAUAACGUAACUAUAACGAUUUUUAUACGUAUCGUUUUCUGACACAAACCUGAAAUUCAUUGGGGUUUUGAAUAAGCAUCACCUUCUGAAAUGCACAGUUAUGUACGACUAAGACAGAACGUGAUUAACGCCUUUGCUGUCUUUUGGAAUACGAUCUUUUAUUUCUUCAGAUACACUUUGCCUGAUAGGCGAGAUUAGUGUUGAUUCAGCUUCGAAAUUCCAAGGAGGGGUUCAAAAUAUGACGUUGGCUAACGAGGUGAUUUAAUAGCUGAUGAUGUUAAAUGAAUGAUGUUAGGUUAAAAAUUUCAGUGAUUGUACCAAAGUGAUGCCUUUGUUAGGCAUGUAAUAUAUAUAUAUAUAUAUAUAUAAAAUGUUAGGCAAAUGAUAUGAAUUGUAUUCUAUGCAAAUCCAAAUCUGCUGUACAUAUUUAGAAUACACAGCCUAUUAGAGUAGUAAUUUUUGAAGCCUUUAUGGGCUUCCUGGGGAGUACAAUGCUCAAGUGAGGGCAUCUUACGCUAAACUCGCUCAGUCGCGCCUUCCUCAUCAUAGCGGCAAUAGACAGCAAACACCGUACUGCGCACUCAAGAAUAGUACUUUCACCAACGUUGAUACGCGGACGGACCCUGAAAAUCAGAGAAUUCGGCUAUCUUUAAUGAUAAGAAGCAUAAUUCAGAAUGAACUAGCACAGGACUGUGAAAAAACGAUCAAAUCGAAAAAUAUUUUCUACGACUUAAUCCUCGCUUUAGUGGACGCUCUCUAAAAAUGCAAUCCAUAAAAACUAACGCAUUACGAGCCUAGUGCUUCCAAAUAAGCGCCAAUAUUUAAGUAGAGAUAGCUUUUUUCGAACACUUAGUAAUUUUUUUCAUACUUAAGAUUAGUAAGAUCACAUUUUAAGAAAAAUUCUUUGUUGAGUCCUUAAACCACUGCACUUCGCUGCAGGUAUUUUCGAAGGAAAGGUUUUCUUUUGUCUGUUUAACGCAGCACCUGGGCUGCCCAAUUUCACCAACGUGUAAAAAAACACAAUAGCGAAUCAAAGGCCGGACAUAGGCUUCCAAGCCUAACGUACUUGUUGAAAGCGCGAUAUAUCGUUUUGUAGUACGUACUGGGCUAAGGAAGACGCACCAACACAUGGUUUUGAAAGAUAUAAAAGAACUGUUUUUCUGAAAGUGUAAGAAUGCGCCAGCCUCGAAGAUCAACCACUGCCUUUGGCUUACAGCCUGUUUUAUCCACAGUUGAAUUUCCCCAGGUAUUUGCUUUGUCGAGCCCCCCUCAUCAGUAUCACAGGGUCAUUUCUGCAUAUUCAUUCAUCCGCUACUAAUAGCGGGAUUUCCUUGUGCUAAAUGCCCUUUUUAUCAGCCUAGUAUUUUGAUCGUGUCCGAUAGAUCGUGAGGCAUACGUGGAUAUAGACUAUGGAAGCUUCUGGAUUAUCAUUUUAUAUAUCUGGAACAGCUAGUUAUUAACUCUAAAUGAGACGUAGCUGCAGCCAUAGCAGUAGAUCUGUCUAAGCAGUAACAUCAAUGACUGUUUCAAUUAGCUCUGGUUUGCAUGAAGUAGUUUUUUUUGGUUACUUAUAGCUGUUUUUUUUCCAGAACCUGUCUGGCCCGGUGCGGUUGGGCUGAUCAUCGACUUGAUCUAGGUCAAAGACUUAAUUUUGUUUUUUUACAGCCUCUUUAUUUUUGGCAUAUGGUCCUAUCUCGCACAGGCUGAGGUCUAUAUUAAGAAAGUGCACCAUUUUAGAUUUUAUAAAACACUUGCUACUUAGGUUCAGCUUCAUAGAGUGUUCGAACAGACGAAGUAGAACCAAAAUUCCGUAUUAAUUCGAAAGCGCAGAUACUACACCUACAUUUAUCUAAUAUUACCCUACUUAAACGUUACAUUCAUUAUCUGCAACUUUAUAACCUCCUUUUAACAUCUGUCUGUUUCUGCUGUCACGAAAUGCACGUUCCACCAGUCCGCAGAGCUUGUUUGUUGCAGUCUCGUUUUCUUGCCAGGCUUCCCUACAAAUAGCGCGUUCCUAAUCUUUUAUGUAUCUAAUAGUUUUGUCCCAGUAACAAUGUAGCAGUAGCGUGUUUGUCUGCUAAACCUCAGGCCACCUAAUGCGGUCCGGAUUUUAAACUGGACAUAGAUACAUUUUGUGUCUCGCAGAAAACUAGUCGCCUGAAGCAAUACUUCAAAGCAGAAGCGGAUGUAAAAUCUCGAACAUUUUAUAUAAAGGUUGCCUUUUUCAACGGUUAGCCAAGUUACUUUGGUCUUCUUUGAAUUGAAAUGUACUUUCUGGACGAAGUAGUAUUCGAGCUGAGUAUUUUUUCCUUGACAGGACAUUUUAGGAAUUCUAGUAAGCGAACUGGUUUCUACAUCUUGGCCUAUUAACAAAAUGUACUCAUGGAGAUCUUUCAAUUCAGCAUUCUCCUCCUGGUUUCUCUGUAAAAACAUUCUUUCAAAAAAUGUACAGCUGUUUAUCUGAGUUUUUGUCUUGACUUAAUUUUUUUGACCUGUU